rnacentral:rRNA from 1 species
UACAUGGGGUGCAAACGUUGCUCGGAAUUAUUGGGCGUAAAGCGCACGUAGGCGGUCCGUUAAGUCGGAUGUGAAAGCCCCCGGCUCAACCGGGGAAGUGCAUCCGAAACUGGCAGGCUAGAGUACGAAAGAGGGUCGCGGAAUUCCCGGUGUAGAGGUGAAAUUCGUAGAUAUCGGGAGGAACACCGGUGGCGAAGGCGGCGACCUGGGUCGAUACUGACACUGAGGAGCGAAAGCCAGGGGAGCAAACGGG